GACAGAGGUGCCAAGCGUUAGGCGGAAUCACUGGGCUUAAAGCGUGUGUAGGCGGAUGCCUAAGUACCUUGUGAAAUCCCACGGCUCAACCGUGGAACUGCUGGGUAUACUGGGCGUCUUGGGCCAACUAGGGGUCGCUGGAACAAAUGGUGGAGCGGUGAAAUGCGUAGAUAUCAUUUGGAACGCCAAGGGCGAAAGCAAGCGACUGGGGUUGUGCCGACGCUGAGACACGAAAGCCAGGGGAGCGAACGGG
rnacentral:rRNA from 1 species